GAUGAAGAACGUAGCGAAAUGCGAUAAGUAGUGUGAAUUGCAGAAUUUAGUGAAUCAUCGAAUCUUUGAACGCACAUUGCGCCCUAUAGUAUUCUGUAGGGCAUGCCUGUUCGAGCGUUAUUGAGACCUCAAGCUCUGCUUGGAAAUGGGCGCUUGUCUUGCCUUGCAGACUCGCCUUAAAACCAUUGGCAGCUGAUUUACAAUGUUUGGUGCACAGUACAUGAGCCCAAGUGUUGCAAUGAGUGGCCCAAAAGUAUACAAUAGAAGCUUAACCUCGGAUCAGGUAGGGAUACCCACUGAACUUAAGCAUAUCAAUAAGCGGAGGA
rnacentral:misc_RNA from 1 species